UCUAAGAGCUUUGGAUUUUGUAAGAAAGAAAUGAUUCCAGAGAAGAGAGUGUAUCUUCCUAUCCUUCUCUUCAUUUGUCUCCACUCCUUUUCAUCCCGGUUUGCUUUCUCGCAACCUUCCUGGGACUAUAAUGUCAGUUUUUUGAAUUCUACUACCGGACUUUCCAGUUCUUGGAUCAAUAUGCCAUCUGUUAGAGUUUUCAAUACCUCCGAGCCCUCUCAAUUGACACCUAUUCUUCAGAGCAGAAAGGAUAGCUCUCAGUUUCUCUUUGCCUUCUAUUGCCUCAGUAACGGUACCACAGAAUGCAUUCUUGGUAUCCUCUUAUUCCACACCAGCUCCCGUUAUCUAAGUGUUCCCCAGUUAGUUUGGUCUGCUAACCGGUACCAUCCAGUGAAAAUCAAUGCAACAUUGCAACUAGGCCAAGAUGGCAACUUGGUCUUGACAGACUCUGAUGGUACUCUUGUUUGGUCCACUAAUACUACUGGCAAAUCUGUUUCAGGCUUAAACAUGACAGUAAUGGGAAAUCUUGUACUCUUUGAUAAGAGAAAGCAUGCAAUUUGGAAGUCAUUUGAUCAUCCAACAGAUUGUUUGCUUCCGGGGCAGAAGUUGGUUUCUGGGCGGAAGCUGAUAUCAAGCGGUUCAGCAUCCAAUCAGUCUUUUUCUUUUACUAUUCUUUACGGAAGUCUGGUGUCUUCCAUAGAUACCAACCCACCUCAGUAUUAUAUCGCUUCAAGUAGGGAUGAUGCUGCAAAUAGUCCUUUUUUUGAUUUUGAUGGUCGAACCUUUACUGCUCUACAAGACCAUUAUACAUCAGAAACCCAAUUCAUAAAGCUUGGGCCUGAUGGACAUUUAAGGUUAUACCAGAUGGAUGCAUUUGAUUGGAAACAGGAUGGAGUCAUGAAUUCACAUUUAGGGAACUGUGGGUACCCAAUGGUGUGUGGAAGAUAUAGCAUUUGUACCAAUGAUGGACAAUGUAAUUGCCCGGUAGAAGGAAACUUCUUCAGGCCAAUAAAUAGGAACCCAAAUCUCGGAUGUUCACAGCUAACAACCAUUUCUUGCAACUCUUCGCAGUAUCAUAGUCUUAUAGAGCUCAAGGAUACAACAUAUUUUGCAUUUGAGACCGACUUUUACACAAGUUCGAACAUGUGGUUCGAGGGGACAAAGAUGGAAAAUUGCAAAGCGGCCUGUCUGAGUAACUGUUCCUGCAAAGCUGCUGUUUGGUCCGAACUCUAACAAAAAACUGCUUAAUACUGAGUGAAGUCUACUCUCUUAUGGACAACUGGUCUGGAAGUGACAAGACAAAAGUUUUUCUUAAGGUGCAGAAUUCCGUAAAAGCACAGUAUCAGUCACCAAUCAUUUCUCGAAGAAAGCAAUCAAGACCCUCGAAAGUGAUUGUAGCAUCUGCUCUUGCAGCUUUAGUGGGAAUAAUUUUAAGUAUUAGUGCAUGGUUUGUUCUUUUCAAAAAGAGAGCACUCUCCAUCAAGGCUGGGGAUCUUCUGGAUCUAGCACCAAUCUUACCGGGAAUCCUAACUCGAUUCUCUUACAAUGAGUUGAAAAUAAUUACUCAAGAUUUCAGCAGAAAGCUUGGGGAAGGAGGAUUUGGCUCUGUAUAUGAAGGAACACUGAGUAAUGGCAACAAAAUAGCUGUGAAGCGUCUGAAUGGGGUAGGUCAAGUCAAAGAUUCAUUCCUAACAGAAGUAAAGAUAGUUGGUAGCAUUCACCAUGUCAAUUUGGUAAAACUCAUCGGCUUUUGUGCUGAAAAAGAUCACCGGGUUCUGAUCUAUGAGUACAUGGUAAAUGGAUCAUUGGAUAGGUGGAUUUCUCAUGAAAAGCAAGAAAAUGGGCUUACAUGGCUUACGAGGCAAAGGAUAAUAUCAGAUAUAGCUAAAGGAUUAGCUUAUCUUCAUGAUGAAUGCAACCAGAAGAUUAUUCAUUUGGACAUCAAACCACACAACAUCCUCUUAGAUCAAAAUUUCAAUGCUAAGAUAUCUGAUUUUGGGUUGUCAAAACUAAUUGAGAAAGACAAAAGCAAAGUUGUGACUAGAAUGAGAGGAACACCAGGGUAUUUAGCCCCUGAAUGGUUGAGGUCGGUGAUCACUGAGAAAGUAGACGUGUAUGCCUUUGGAAUUGUGCUCUUGGAAGUUCUUUGUGGGCGAAAGAAUUUGGAUUGGUCGCAGGCUGAUGAGGAAGAUGUCCAUUUGCUUAGUGUUUUUAGGAGAAAAGCAGAACAAGAGCAGCUCAUGGAUAUGGUUGACAAAAACAACGAGGAUAUGCAGCUCCACAGAGAAGAAGUGACGGAAAUGAUGAGCCUCGCUGCAUGGUGUCUACAAGGCGAUUUCAACAAGAGGCCAUCCAUGUCAUUGGUGGUUAAGGUACUGGAAGGUUUGGUGUCUGUUGAAACCAACUUGGAUUUCAAUUUCACAAACCUAACUGAAGUAGGGGCGGGCAACCAACAAACGGAAGCCACAAUCAGUCCAAUACUUCCUUCUGUUUUAUCUGGACCAAGGUAAACAAUUUAGUCUUGAAAAGAACCAACUUAUAGUUAGACACAUGUCAACAAUUGCAAUAUUUCCAAUGAACUUUCAUGAAUCUAAUAUUCAGUAAGCAUUAGUUUUAUUGAGCUUCAUGUACUGUCUUGCAAUUUUUCCUUUUUUUUUUAUCAAGUUCUUAUAUUUUUAUAUUCAAUCAGUUUAGUAUAUGAUUUUAAUUCUUUUUAAAGGCGUGACAAUAUGCAACAACAAUUGUUAAAGAAUCUACUUGAGUUCGACUCG